AGCGGCAGACGGGAGAGUAACACGUGGGAACGUGCCCUUUGGUUCGGAACAACACAGGGAAACUUGUGCUAAUAACCGGAGUAAGCCCUUACGGGGAAAGAUUUAUCGCCAAAGGAUCGGCCCGCGUCUGAUUAGCUAGUUGGUGGGGUAAUGGCCCACCAAGGCGACGAUCAGUAGCUGGUCUGAGAGGAUGAUCAGCCUCAUUGGGACUGAGACACGGCCCAA
rnacentral:rRNA from 1 species